GGAGGUAUUGGGUCGGGAUCCGCGCUGCUGGGUGAAAUCGUAGGCCAGCGAAGAUGCUGCUGGAGUUGUCUGAGGAGCAUAAGGAGCACCUGGCCUUCCUGCCUCGAGUGGACAGCGCGGUGGUCGCCGAGUUUGGGAGGAUUGCUGUGGAAUUCCAGAGGCGCGGUGCAAACCCAAAAAUCUACGAAGGCGCCGCCAGAAAACUCAAUGUGAGUAGUGACACUGUCCAGCAUGGUGUGGAAGGAUUAACGUAUCUCCUCACUGAGAGCUCAAAGCUCAUGAUUUCUGAACUGGAUUUUCAAGACUCUGUUUUUGUUCUGGGAUUCUCUGAAGAAUUAAACAAAUUGUUGCUUCAGCUUUAUCUGGACAACAGAAAAGAGAUCAGAACUAUUCUCAGUGAACUGGCACCAAGUCUUCCCAGUUAUCAUAACCUUGAAUGGCGACUAGAUGUACAGCUUGCAAGUAGAAGUCUCAGGCAACAGAUUAAACCAGCAGUGACUAUAAAGCUACACCUUAAUCAAAAUGGAGAUCACAACACCAAAGUUCUACAAACAGACCCAGCCACUCUGCUCCGUUUGGUUCAACAACUGGAACAAGCAUUGGAAGAGGUGAAGACAAACCACUGUAGGAGAGUUGUUCGCAACAUCAAGUAGUGCCAAUUUUAAGUUAUCAUAUCCUCUGUUGCAGAAGAGUCUGCCCAGCAACCAAAAAGGGAAAUAACACAAAAAAAGAUUUUUGCCUUUUCUCACCAACCAUAUGAGGCCUUUUAACUUUUUAAAUUUUUUUACUCUGCUCUGUUAACACUGAGCUACUAUAAACUAUCCACUUAUGCAUGGCAUUAUAUUGAUAAUAAAACACAUUUUGAAACCUA